CAGUAGCCGCGGGAAUACGUAGGGUGCAAGCGUUAAUCGGAAUUACUGGGCGUAAAGCGUGCGCAGGCGGUUCUAUAAGACAGAUGUGAAAUCCCCGGGCUCAACCUGGGAACUGCAUUUGUGACUGUAGAGCUGGAGUGCGGCGGAGGGGGAUGGAAUUCCGCGUGUAGCAGUGAAAUGCGUAGAUAUGCGGAGGAACACCAACGGCGAAAGCACUCUGCUGGGCCGACACUGACACUGAGAGACGAAAGCUAGGGGAGAAAAUGGGAUUAGAUACCCCAGUAGUCCCUGUCUCUUAUAC
rnacentral:rRNA from 1 species